rnacentral:rRNA from 1 species
AUUUGCAGCAGGCGCGAUAACUUUACAAUGCGGGCAACCGUGAUAAGGGAACCUCGAGUGCCUGUAAAUGCAGGCUGUUCAGGUGCCUAAAACACACCUGAAGAAAGGGCCGGGCAAGACCGGUGCCAGCCGCCGCGGUAAUACAAUCGAUCCUCAAGGAAGAUCCUGGACCUCACGGUUGAACGCCUCAAUGAACGAAACUUACAGUUAAGGAAUGGGCUCCGUGGGGAU